rnacentral:rRNA from 1 species
GACGAACGCUGGCGGCGUGCUUAACACAUGCAAGUCGAACGGACAGGCCCUGCUUUUGUGGGGUGCUCGAGUGGCGAACGGGUGAGUAACACGCGAGUAACCUGCCCUUGACUUUGGGAUAACUUCAGGAAACUGGGGCUAAUACCGGAUAUGAGCUCCUGCUGCAUGGUGGGGGAUGGAAAGUUUCGGCGGUUGGGGAUCGACUAGCGGCUUAUCAGCUUGUUGGUGGAGUAGUGGCUGACGAAGGGUUCGAAGGGUAGCCGGCCUGGGAGGGGGGACGGGGACAUUGGGCCUGAGAUAGGGCGCAGUCGCGUACGUGAGGCAGCAGUGGAGAGCAUGGCACAGUGGGGGGGAGCGUGAUACGACAACGCCGCGAGCGGGAAACCGGGCUACGGGGUGAAAACCGCUGUCGCCUUUAACGUGGCGUGAGUGACGGUAAUGGGUAAGGAAGCACCGGCUAACUACGUG